GCCCCUGUAGCUCAGUGGACAGAGCAGCUGCCUUCUAAGCAGACGGUCGGGGGUUCGAUCCCCUCCAGGGGUG
rnacentral:tRNA from 1 species